rnacentral:pre_miRNA from 1 species
AGAGGAGGCAUCCAAAGGGAUCGCAUUGAUCCUUUAUUUUCAACCCUUUCUUCUUUCUCACAAUUUUGGAUCAUGCUAUCCCUUUGGAUUUCUCCUU